rnacentral:lncRNA from 1 species
AUCCUCCCAACAACGGGGUGAAAUAGGCCUUACUUGCCCCCAUUUUAUAGCUGAGGAAACUGAGUUUCAGAGAGGUCAAGUAAUUCACUCAGGAUCGUAGAGCUGAUAAAUGAGAGCCAGGUUUUAAGCCUGCCUGUGUCUCUCUAAUCCAAAAUAUAUGUGCUCUCCAUUGUACUUCCUAUGCCUUAGAGAGACUGAUUAGUGAAAGGGAAACUAGGAAAUGCUUGAGUAUUUCCAGUCCUAAUAAUAUUCAGUUCAAAUUCCAGGAAGGGCAGUGAUUUUCAACCUUCUUAACUUUUCUGUUUUAAAUCUGCAAAAGAAAACCUGCCACAGACCAGAAAGGAGAAAGUUCCCCCUAAAUUGUGUCAAUCUUUGCAGAUAAUAAAGCAACUCUUUCACUUCUGCAGGAUUGUCAAGUGGGAUGUCCAAACCUGAGAAACAGCUAUUUGGUUCUUUACUCUGCCCCUGAAUAGAGUCGGAGCUUCAGGCUUCAGGGAGGGACAAUUGCCAUCAAAAGUCGUCAUGCCCGGGAGCAGGUGUUGCUCAGAAUUGUGAAGACGUUAUGAACCCAGGUGACUUGACUCAAGAGUUACAACCCCACUAAUGAGAAGCAAUCUGAUGGAGGGCAAUUUUUUAAUCUUUCACAUCAUCACUGUGGACAGUAAAUGCAAUUCUGUGCCUACAUUUUGUUAAGAAAGGAGCCAUCUACAGAUCCAGGGGAAGACUGGCAGCAUCCAAACAGAUGAUGCAUCAUCUUAAAACACGAUUGCUUGCCAUCCACUGUGGCUCUUUUUGUCGUGUAUAAAGAGCUAUAUGCUUUCAGGAGAAGCACAACUCACACUUGUUGAAUUAAACAAGAGGCUCGGGUGUUUUGCCAAGUACUCCAGAGACUGGUUCUACUCUCACACAGGAAGAAAUUUGAGGAAUGCUAGGCACCAAGGACAAACAGCCUCAUGGAAAAUCAACGGAUCCGCUUCCCAGACAAGACCAUUGGAAUGCCUGGAGCUCCAUGUAAUUUUCUGUGUCCUGACAACCUCCCCAACCUGAGUUUCCUUCAAGCCCACCACCUGAGCCAUCUGAGCAAGUUGAGCUAGGCUGAAGCUCCAAUGCUGUCACACUUUGUAUUGUAUAUAGAACAAGAAUAGAUGGACUUCCCCUUAUGUGGGUGGUACUAGUCAUCUUUAAUUCUUAUGGGUGAGGGAAGUUUUCCUUUAGUAGAAACAUAAACACAUAGCAAUGCCCCUUUCCCCACUCAGGAGAUGUGCAUUCACUUUUAAAAUAGCUGCUGUUAUUUAGUAUUCAU